rfam:Gossypium hirsutum cultivar TM-1 chromosome 17, whole genome shotgun sequence
UUUUAAAUUUUAUUUAUUUGUAUUGCUAAAAAUUAGCAUGUCUGAUAAAAUAAUCAAACAGUGACACAUGACAUGUUAUGUGUAUGUCAUGCUGAUGUACAAAGACCAAUUUUAAACAGUAAAAAUUGAUGAAUUUUUUAACA